rnacentral:rRNA from 1 species
GUAAUACGUGAGUAACCUGCCCUUGACUCUCGGAUAAGCCUGGCAAACUGGGUCUAAUACUGGAUACCACGGCCCAUCGCACGGAUGUGUUGUGCAAAGGGUUUUACUGGUUUUGGAUGGGCUCACGGCCUAUCACCUUGUUGGUGGGGUAAUGGCUCACCAAGGCUACUACCGGUAGCCAGCCUGAGAGGUGACCGGCCACACUGGGACUGAUACCGGCCCUACUCCUACGGGAGGCAGCAGUGGGGAAUAUUGCACAAUGGGCGGAAGCCUGAUGCAGCGACACCGCGUGAGGGAUGACGGCCUUCAGGUUGUAAACCUCUUUCAGCACGGAAGAAACGAGAGUGACGGUACGUGCAUAAGAAGCGCCGGCUAACUACAUGCCACCAGCCGCGGUAAUACCUAUGGCGCACGCGUUGUCCGGAAUUAUUGGGCGUAAAGAGCUCGUAGGCGGUUUGUCGCGUCUGCUG